UUUUGCUUUAAUUAUUCAAAAUAACAGAAACAAGUCUGAUUUUAUACUUUAAUAUCAGAGUUUCAGUUGUUACAGUAAUUAGAGUUCACUAACAAUUUAACUUUUUUAUUGUUAUUAAGGUUUAAGGUUUUCAUAGAAUUCCAUAUUACGUUAUUUAACAUUUUUUUGCUGAAUCAUUACUUAAGUUUCAGAAUAAAUUAUUCACACAUGUAUUAUUUAUAUAUCUAUAAAAAGACAUAUAUUUUGUUAAAGGUUUAUCACUCCUUCUUCUUCCUCCUGCUUCCUGAAAAGAACCUAGUGGUACUUCAAAAGCCAAGAAUUGUUUUCCAUGAUGGGAUUACAUGACUCCUCCUUGAUAACGGUCUUCACGACGACUUUUCCUGGGCUACCAUAGAUAGCAUCGAUGACUACGUCCCUUGCAUCUUAUCGCAUGAGUCGCAUGCAUUUUUGUCCUUCUUGUCACUCAACCAUGUCGUAGGACGAAAGGUCCGAAUCGACACGGGUGAUUGGUUGUAUUACGUAGAAUUUUUUGCGAGCUCAGUGACCGCGGGUAUUUAUUAUACCCGUAAGUAGUAACAUUUUCUUUUUCUAUGUAUUAUUUAUUAGUUCAGGAUAGAUCUUCUUGCAUAUUGCGUUUUUGUUUAUGUUAUUUACAUGAUAAUGAACUAUUUUAUAUUGACAAUAUUAAUAAUACUACUAACUGAUAAAAAUGAUAUUAUAUUAACAAUUAAUUUGAAUAUUUGUGAUUGAAGACAUGUAUGUUCACUAUAAUCACUUUUAAUGUUGGAGUGUAUUAAAAAUGUAUAUCUACAGAGAGUUUCAAUGAUUUAAUUAAAUAUUUCGUAGUGAUGAAGUCGGAUGCCCUCCGACUUCGUUGCAUUGAAAAUUG